AGCAAGCUGAGGAGAUGUCCGUAA
rnacentral:siRNA from 1 species